UGCCAGCAGCCGCGGUAAUACAUAGGGGGCAAGCGUUAUCCGGAAUUAUUGGGCGUAAAGGGCGCGCAGGCGGUCUUGUCCGUCAGAUGUGAAAGCCCGGGGCUCAACCCCGGAAGUGCAUUGGAAACUGGCGAACUUGAGUACGGGAGAGGAAAGUGGGAUUCCGAGUGUAGAGGUGAAAUCCGUAGAUAUUCGGAGGAACACCAGUGGCGAAGGCGGCUUUCUGGACCGAUACUGACGCUGAGACGCGAAAGCGUGGGGAGCAAACAGGAUUAGAUA
rnacentral:rRNA from 1 species